AGUGAACGCUGGCGGUAGGCCUAACACAUGCAAGUCGAACGGCAGCACAGUAAGAGCUUGCUCUUACGGGUGGCGAGUGGCGGACGGGUGAGGAAUACAUCGGAAUCUACUUUUUCGUGGGGGAUAACGUAGGGAAACUUACGCUAAUACCGCAUACGACCUACGGGUGAAAGUAGGGGAUCUUCGGACCUUGCGCGAUUGAAUGAGCCGAUGUCGGAUUAGCUAGUUGGCGGGGUAAAGGCCCACCAAGGCGACGAUCCGUAGCUGGUCUGAGAGGAUGAUCAGCCACACUGGAACUGAGACACGGUCCAGACUCCUACGGGAGGCAGCAGUGGGGAAUAUUGGACAAUGGGCGCAAGCCUGAUCCAGCCAUACCGCGUGGGUGAAGAAGGCCUUCGGGUUGUAAAGCCCUUUUGUUGGGAAAGAAAAGCAGCGGGUUAAUACCCCGCUGUUCUGACGGUACCCAAAGAAUAAGCACCGGCUAACUUCGUG
rnacentral:rRNA from 1 species